rnacentral:lncRNA from 1 species
AAAAUCUUGACCCACAUGAGAAGACAGUUUUGGAAGCAGUAAGACCUGUUCAAGAAUCCUGAGCUGUUCCCGGGAGACUCUCCUGUGCUGUGCACUGUGUGCACCACUCAAUUAUUUCCUCCCUGUCUUCAUCUUCUGUUCUCUUAUUCCUACUUCUCUCCUCCUUUCCCUCUCUUCUCUCAAACUCAAUCCUGCUCAUCCUACCAGCUCCUCUCCUCAUUCUACUUGCUCCUUUUUCUCCUCCUUGCCUCUACUUUUUGCAGCUACCUUCCUCUUAUACUCUUUUUUCCUCCUAUAGUAUUCUUUCUCUUUAUUCUUUUUCUCAUCAUCCUUUGACGAACUUUUGCUGACUGGAGAGUCUGAGGACUGACUAUAGAGCUUGCUUGGAUGCCAACAGGAGAAUAUAAGGUAAUCACAAGGCCCACCCUGAACAAGUGACUAAAGAAGAAUAAAAAUCCUGCUGGAUGAAAGAUCCAAAGACCUACAAAGUAAGAUAUUCAAGCAAAGCAUUGCAGGCCAAAUGGCACUCCCUGUUCAUGUGAAAAUGUUAACAUUCAAAACAUGCAGCCAUAAUUAUUCAGUACCUGUAAGGUCUGUUAAUGCUGAAAAUAGCUGAUAGUUGUCACCCACUACCCAGCCAUUUUCCUAGCAAGGCAUGGGGAAACAAAUUAAGAUUCAUUCUAAACCUGGAAAAGUUAUGAUUUCAGUGUUUUGAG